rnacentral:lncRNA from 10 species
CUCAGGGCUGGCUGGGACCGGGCAGCAGAGUCUGAAACACGUCCUUGGAUUGGAUGCUAGAACCAGCGUUGAAUGUAACUUUCUUUCCGAUUGGUUAGACAGGUGCUUGGAGGGGUUGUAUCGGACCUAAGAGUAGAGGUUGAUUCCACUCUCCCACCACGCACUUUUCGUAUCAUCCUAGAUCUGGAUGCCCUUCAUGGAACCUAAAAACCAGCGAGUCCCGGAAAGGCCUCAGGCAAUUGCCAAGCCGAUGGCCUUCUGCCACUUAGUUAAUGUGCACCUGGCAGCUUAGGUGGCCGCGGAGAAAGCAACUUUGGCUGCACCAAGGUCCGGCACAAGUCUGGAGAAGCUUCAGCCAGUUCCAAUGGCUGGAGUCAGCUGGCAAAUACAGAAGCAGGAAACAUUACACUGAAGCUCAGAAAAUAAUAUCCCCAAAUGAAGGCAUCAGAAAUAAAAGUUCUUCUCUGACCUUCUUUCUCUCAAGGUCAUAAGACCUCCAUUCCAUAGAGGGCCCUGUGCCACACCCAGAAGGAAGGAACGCUGCUCAGAGAGGCCAAGAUGAGUCUAGACAGGCAGGCCCUGCUGGGGUUUCCCAACUCCAUCUAUUAGCAUUAGAUCAUACCCUUAUUGUCCAAUCAUAUUUCUCCAUUGCUGCUCGUACUUUGUUGAACCUAAGCAAAAAUCGGACAAUUUU